CAAUAUGUUAGUGGACUGGCGUACGGGUGCGUAACGCGUAGGUAAUUUGCCCUAAGGACUGGCAUAACACUUAGAAAUCAGUGCUAAUUCCAGAUAAUGCAGCGAAAUCGCAUGAUUUUGUUGCCAAAGACCCAAAAGGUUGCCAUAGGAGAAGCCUGCGUCCCAUUAGGUAGUUGGCGGAGUAACGGCCCACCAAGCCUACGAUGGGUAGCCGGUCUGAGAGGAUGAUCGGCCACAUUGGGACUGAGACACGGCCCAGACUCCUACGGGAGGCAGCAGUGAGGAAUAUUGCUCAAUGGGCGAAAGCCUGAAGCAGCAACGCCGCGUGUGGAAUGAAGGCCCUCUGGGUUGUAAACCACUGUAGAAAGGGACAAAGGUCAUGCUCCGCAUGACUGGAUGGUACCUUUAAAGUAAGCCUCGGCUAACUACGUGCCAGCAGCCGCGGUAAUACGUAGGAGGCAAGCGUUGUCCGGAAUCACUGGGUGUAAAGGGUGCGCAGGCGGGAAGGUAAGUCAAUGGUGAAAUCUCACAGCUUAACUGUGAAACUGCCAUUGAUACUGCUUUUCUUGAGUUUGGGAGAGGGUGGUGGAAUUCUUGGUGUAGCGGUGAAAUGCGUAGAUAUCAAGAAGAACACCAGUGGCGAAGGCGGCCACCUGGCCCAUAACUGACGCUCAUGCACGAAAGCGUGGGGAUCAAACAGGAUUAGAUACCCUGGUAGUCCACGCCCUAAACGAUGAGAACUUGAUGUUGGUCCCGCAAGGGAUCAGUGUCGGAGAUAACUCGUUAAGUUCUCCACCUGGGAAGUACGCUCGCAAGGGUGAAACUC
rnacentral:rRNA from 1 species